rnacentral:rRNA from 1 species
GAUGAACGCUGGCGGCGUGCUUAACACAUGCAAGUCGAACGAAGCACCUUAUUCUGAUUUCUUCGGAAUGAAAAAUUCGGUGACUGAGUGGCGGACGGGUGAGUAACGCGUGGGUAACCUGCCUCAUACAGGGGGAUAACAGUUAGAAAUGACUGCUAAUACCGCAUAAGACCACAGCACCGCAUGGUGCAGGGGUAAAAACUCCGGUGGUAUGAGAUGGACCCGCGUCUGAUUAGGUAGUUGGUGGGGUAACGGCCUACCAAGCCGACGAUCAGUAGCCGACCUGAGAGGGUGACCGGCCACAUUGGGACUGAGACACGGCCCAAACUCCUACGGGAGGCAGCAGUGGGGAAUAUUGCACAAUGGGGGAAACCCUGAUGCAGCGACGCCGCGUGAGCGAUGAAGUAUUUCGGUAUGUAAAGCUCUAUCAGCAGGGAAGAAAAUGACG